rnacentral:tmRNA from 1 species
GCAGCUAAAUAAGUGGCAUAUUGAUUUACAAACACUUUGGGAUAACUUCGUCGCGCCUUUGCAGGAAAGUCGGUGCAAAUCCGACGCUGUCCCGCAGCUGUAACCGAGGACGAACGCUCAAGACCACUGACCCUGCCUCGUUGGCAAGGUUGGGAAGGUGAGUUAGUAGGACAAUCCGGAAGCCAGAAUAUCUUUCACAGGCCUGGGAUCACUGCCCGACCGUCGCCCCAUCUCCGUGCGCAUGACACUGGAAGUGGCUGCAAUAUCUUUUUUAGCUGCGCGUGCGCAACUGCGAUUUAGAGCCUCAGGGCAGCAGCGGCACAGCGGCGCGAAGAUCGACCACAUUGCCGCCCCUGCCACUGCCCCUCGCACGAAAUGCAAGCGACGACCGGGCAACGGUUCCAGCAUCCAAAUGCGCGGUCCAACAUGGACCCCGCGUUUUUCCUGCUGCCGGCAGUCGCAAGAACUGACGGCGCCCUUGGAGUGCCCCCGUGAAUCUAUUGUCUAGGUGUUCUGCGUUUCUGGCACUAGCUGGCAGUCUCUUUGCUCAGUCCGUUCCGGAUGGUUACAGCUCAAGCCUUCAUUC